UACAGAGGGUGCAAACGUUGUUCGGAAUUACUGGGCUUAAAGCGUGUGUAGGCGGCCUCAUAAGUCGGUUGUGAAAGCUUUCGGCUCAACCGGGAAAGUGCAUUCGAAACCACGAGGCUUGAGUGUCGGUGAGGAAGGCGGAAUUGUCGGUGUAGAGGUGAAAUUCAUAGAUAUCGACAGGAACACCUGCGGCGAAAGCGGCCUUCUGGAAGAACACUGACGCUGAGACACGAAAGCGUGGGGAGCAAACAGG
rnacentral:rRNA from 1 species